GGGGGGGCGUAGAUGAUGAACAUUGUUGUUUGCUCAUAAUUCAUAUAAAUAUCAUCUUGUAGCUAGCACAGGCAACCAGUUAUGGUGUAAUUAAUUAACUCUAUAUAUAUUGUUAGUGGAAAAUAAUGUAGUUGCAUGGUACAGUAGUAGGAUUUUGACAUGAUAGAAGGUUUUUGUAUUUUAAAGACGCACAGAAUCUAAUCCAAUCAUAUCAUUAUAACUAUCAGCCAAAU
rnacentral:lncRNA from 1 species